UGAGGAAUAUUGGGCAAUGGAGGCAACUCUGACCCAGCCAUGCCGCGUGAGUGAAGAAGGUUUUCGGAUUGUAAAGCUCUUUCGCACGGGACGAUGAUGACGGUACCGUGAUAAGAAGCCCCGGCUAACUUCGUGCCAGCAGCCGCGGUAAUACGAAGGGGGCAAGCGUUGUUCGGAAUUACUGGGCGUAAAGGGAGUGUAGGCGGUUAUGUAAGAUAGCGGUGAAAUGCCGGGGCUCAACCUCGGAAUUGCCGUUAUAACUAUGUAACUAGAAUGAUAGAGAGGAUAGCGGAAUACCCAGUGUAGAGGUGAAAUUCGUAGAUAUUGGGUAGAACACCGGUGGCGAAGGCGGCUAUCUGGCUAUAAAUUGACGCUGAGGCUCGAAAGCAUGGGGAUCAAACAGGAUUAGAUACCC
rnacentral:rRNA from 1 species